CAAAGUGCACUUAUCUUUUCGGUCAAACAUCCUAAGAGAACUCCACAGUUAAGCGUGCUUGAGCUGGAGUAGUUUCAGGAUGGGUGACCUUUCGGGAAGUGAUUGUCGGAACUGUGU